rnacentral:rRNA from 1 species
AAUAGAUACCCUGGUAGUCCACGCCGUAAACGAUAAUCACUGGACGUCAGCUGAGCGUAGCUCAGUUGGUGUCGAAGCUAACGCGUUAAGUGAUUCGCCUGGGGAGUACGGUCGCAAGACUAAAACUUAAAGGAAUUGACGGGGGUCCGCACAAGCGGUGGAACAUGUGGUUUAAUUCGACAAUACGCGAGGAACCUUACCUGGGCUUGACAUGCAUUUGAUCGCCGUAGAGAUGCGGUUUUUUAAGCUUCGGUUUAGACAGAUGCACAGGUGCUGCAUGGCUGUCGUCAGCUCGUGUCGUGAGAUGUUGGGUUAAGUCCUUUAACGAGCGCAACCCCUACUGUCAGUUGCUACUCAUCUUCGGGUGAGGCACUCUGAUGGGGACUGCCUGGGGAAACCAGGAGGAAGGUGGGGACGACGUCAAGUCAUCAUGGUCCUUAUGUCCAGGGCUACACACGUGUUACAAUGGUCGGUACAAAGGGACGCCAAGCCGUAAGGUGAGCAAAUCCCAGAAAGCCGAUCUAAGUUCGGA